rnacentral:rRNA from 1 species
CAGCAGCCACGGGAAUACGUAGGGUGCAAGCGUUAUCCGGAAUUAUUGGGCGUAAAGAGCUCGUAGGCGGUCUGUCGCGUCUGCUGUGAAAACUGGAGGCUCAACCUCCAGCCUGCAGUGGGUACGGGCAGACUAGAGUGCGGUAGGGGAGAUUGGAACUCCUGGUGUAGCGGUGGAAUGCGCAGAUAUCAGGAAGAACACCGAUGGCGAAGGCAGAUCUCUGGGCCGUAACUGACGCUGAGGAGCGAAAGCAUGGGGAGCGAACAGGAUUAGAUACCCCUGUAGUCCCUGUCUCUUAUAC